rnacentral:ncRNA from 2 species
GGGGAAGACCGGUGCAAGUCCGGCGCUGUCCCGCAACGGUAACCGGCCGCGCCGGCCGCGAAGCGGCCACCCCGGGCUGGUCGAUGACGCGUCCGCCGUCAUGCAGCCCCAUCGACCGGCCGCUUCGGCGAGCUUGGACGAGCCGGAAGCCCGAGUACCC